rnacentral:guide_RNA from 1 species
AUGUAUAAUAAUAAACAACAAGAUAAUAGUGGUGAGCAAAAGAUGAGAGU